GACGAACGCUGGCGGCGUGCCUAAUACAUGCAAGUAGAACGCUGAAACUUGGUGCUUGCACCGAGCGGAUGAGUUGCGAACGGGUGAGUAACGCGUAGGUAACCUGCCUGGUAGCGGGGGAUAACUAUUGGAAACGAUAGCUAAUACCGCAUAAGAGUAGAUGUUGCAUGACAUUUGCUUAAAAGGUGCAAUUGCACCACUACCAGAUGGACCUGCGUUGUAUUAGCUAGUUGGUGGGGUAACGGCUCACCAAGGCGACGAUACAUAGCCGACCUGAGAGGGUGAUCGGCCACACUGGGAAUGAGACACGGCCCAGACUCCUACGGGAGGCAGCAGUAGGGAAUCUGCGGCAAUGGACGGAAGGCUGACCGAGCAACGCCGCGUGAGUGAAGAAGGUUUUCGGAUCGUAAAGCUCUGUUGUAAGAGAAGAACGAGGGUGAGAGUGGAAAGUUCACACUGUGACGGUAUCUUACCAGAAAGGGACGGCUAACUACGUG
rnacentral:rRNA from 1 species